GAUGAGCGCUGGCGGCGUGCCUAAUACAUGCGAGUCGAGCGAACGGACGAGAAGCUUGCUUCUCUGAUGUUAGCGGCGGACGGGUGAGUAACACGUGGAUAACCUACCUAUAAGACUGGGAUAACUUCGGGAAACCGGAGCUAAUACCGGAUAAUAUUUUGAACCGCAUGGUUCAAAAGUGAAAGACGGUCUUGCUGUCACUUAUAGAUGGAUCCGCGCUGCAUUAGCUAGUUGGUAAGGUAACGGCUUACCAAGGCAACGAUGCAUAGCCGACCUGAGAGGGUGAUCGGCCACACUGGAACUGAGACACGGUCCAGACUCCUACGGGAGGCAGCAGUAGGGAAUCUUCCGCAAUGGGCGAAAGCCUGACGGAGCAACGCCGCGUGAGUGAUGAAGGUCUUCGGAUCGUAAAACUCUGUUAUUAGGGAAGAACAUAUGUGUAAGUAACUGUGCACAUCUUGACGGUACCUAAUCAGAAAGCCACGGCUAACUACGUG
rnacentral:rRNA from 1 species